rnacentral:rRNA from 1 species
UACGAAGGGGGCUAGCGUUGCUCGGAAUUACUGGGCGUAAAGCGCACGUAGGCGGAUUGUUAAGUCGGGGGUGAAAUCCUGGAGCUCAACUCCAGAACUGCCUCGAUACUGGCGAUCUCGAGUUCGGGAGAGGUGAGUGGAACUGCGAGUGUAAGAGGUGAAAUUCGUAGAUAUUCGCAAGAACACCAGUGGCGAAGGCGGCUCACUGGCCCGAUAC